rnacentral:rRNA from 1 species
AGCCGCCGCGGUAAUACCAGCACCCCGAGUGGUCGGGACGUUUAUUGGGCCUAAAGCAUCCGUAGCCGGUUCUACAAGUCUUCCGUUAAAUCCACCUGCUUAACAGAUGGGCUGCGGAAGAUACUAUGGAGCUAGGAGGCGGGAGAGGCAAGCGGUACUCGAUGGGUAGGGGUAAAAUCCGUUGAUCCAUUGAAGACCACCAGUGGCGAAGGCGGCUUGCCAGAACGCGCUCGACGGUGAGGGAUGAAAGCUGGGGGAGCAAACCGGAUUAGAUACCCGGGUAGUCCCAGCUGUAAACGAUGCAGACUCGGUGAUGAGUUGGCUUCAUGCCAACUCAGUGCCGCAGGGAAGCCGUUAAGUUUGCCGCCUGGGGAGUACGGUCGCAAGACUGAAACUUAA